AACAGCAAAUACUUCACUGAAAAUUUGCUUUAAGUUAAGUUUUCAGUGACUGAGUUUCCUCUCUUCUAUGCUUACUUGUAUUUUUAAGACAUUUUAAAUGUUUGUUCCAAAGUUGGACAUUUCACAUUGUAGGUCAAAGUUCGUCAUGGUUUGACAAGGUUAUGGCUGAAGCCCAACUGGACUGCAUGCAAACGCUCAAACAGAAUGACUCAGAGCAUCUUGUGGAAGUCUUGGGGUGUAGCAGGUGAGUUGUAUAAGUGACUCUUUGCACAGUUUUGAACCUCUUACCUUUUAGUUUAACCCAGUGAAACACAAGUGAAGAAAUCUCAUGUUCUUCCAGACCAAAGCAGAUUAUACGGACAACUCAGGUUUCUCUGCAAAACUCAUUAACACAGAGUAAUUACUUCUGGCAUGCUCACUCCGUAAGACCUUAAUCUCUCCGGACUGGAGGGUCGCUUGAGGAGAAAGCUGGGCCUAAUCGAAGCUGCUAUAGUGGUUUAUUUUAAUCCUUUUUUUUUUUUUUUUUAGGUCUGUGUCUUGCACAGGUAGCUGGUUUGGAGAUAUGACAGCAAGACUAUGUGGUAAGAGGACUUCACAUCAAGAUCAGGACGGAUCUGAAGAUAUCUUGGACUUCCUCCUUAUGCCAGUUUGGAGAGUUUGAUGAAUCUAAUCAAGAGACGUCGAUCAACUUGUAACCUGUCGUUUGAUAGUUUAGCUUUGACGUGAAAGGAGCUUAAGAUGGGCCGACUUUUGAGACUUCAGUGGUGGACUGACUGGUGGAGGACUCUUCAUCGUCGCUUGUACUCAUCCCCAGCAUCUUCUUCAUGCACGAGCGGAACUGGAAGACAAAGAUUUGAAGCCUAAGGGUUUUUUUUCAAUCUGCAGGGCAGUGAGGAUAAAGCUGUGCUUGGGGGGAUUCAGUGAGGAAGAAUAGAGCAGAUGAUGAACUUGUGAAGAAAAUAUGACUUUUUAACUAUUAAAAAGACACCUUACAAACAGAGAAAUCUGUUGAUAGAGCAGCUUUAUUCUAUCAACUGUCCUUACUCUGUUUCAUAAUCAUGUCACAGAUUUAACUGACCAGCUCUGCUGGAGUCAGUGGGGUUAAGAGUCUGACUCAGCGGCACCACCGUGUGGUUAAUGAGGUUAGAAUGAACCCUGCUGAGAUUUACUCAGAACACGUUCACAUCUUUAACUCUUAAACUCUAACAAAGCUUCUUAGUAUGUCUUUUGUAUUAAAGAGCAUUAAUAAAAUGUAUUAUUUUUAUUUAUUAAAAUAGCUAUUCAUUAAUGCUCAUUAUAAUCCUUUCCUCUCAGUGAAAAAAAAGUCUGAAAAGUUCCUGUGAAGUCAGGAUAUUAGCUUCAUAACAUAAAGAUGCUGUUUUUAUCUUCUAAUUUAAAAAGCCUUUUCCCCCU